CCUACGGGGGGCAGCAGUCGAGAAUCAUUCACAAUGGGGGAAACCCUGAUGGUGCGACGCCGCGUGGGGGAAUGAAGGUCUUCGGAUUGUAAACCCCUGUCAUGUGGGAGCAAAUUAAAAAGAUAGUACCACAAGAGGAAGAGACGGCUAACUCUGUGCCAGCAGCCGCGGUAAUACAGAGGUCUCAAGCGUUGUUCGGAAUGACUGGGCGUAAAGUGUGCGUAGGCUGUUUCGUAAGUCGUGUGUGAAAGGCGCGGGCUCAACCCGCGGACGGCACAUGAUACUGCGAGACUAGAGUAAUGGAGGGGGAACCGGAAUUCUCGGUGUAGCAGUGAAAUGCGUAGAUAUCGAGAGGAACACUCGUGGCGAAGGCGGGUUCCUGGACAUUAACUGACGCUGAGGCACGAAGGCCAGGGGAGCGAAAGGGAUUAGAUACCCCUGUAGUC
rnacentral:rRNA from 1 species